GUGAAGUUUUACCGAGUGUCUUUCUUCGCAUAUUUAUCUAGCGGAGACGCAUGAUGGAUUGUGGCGAAAAUGUUUACAGUCCGUUGGCGGGCACAUGAAUAAGUAAAUAAAACAACACAAGCGCGAUUUGUUGCCAAAAGCAAUCCCGGCCAAUUUAGGUUUCACUUCGCUCGCUCGGUGGACCGUUCGUCUUGGAACAUUAAAUUAAAUCAACGCAGCGUACAGAUUCUCAGCCCAGCCAGCUAGUCGCCGCAAUCUUCAUCAGCUCAACUCAGUCAGUCUGUUCAAGGAAAUCUCACAACGAUCAACCAUCGAGACGAGGAAUCACAAUCAGAGAUGAUUUAUUGCCUGACUGGUUUGGCCAGGCCAGAGGCUGGUGAACACAGUGAUUUGAAACCAUCAGAGGAAAAGAUUAUUCGUCGUCUUUUAUGCACUGUCAAAACCAGACGGUCACGAAGCCAGACCACAGAACAGCCAUGGGAGACAUCCACCCUCGCGAAGUGAGACGAUCAAAGCCAGUCAAAGUGAUCGUCUAAAGCGGGACGCUCUGUAGAAGUUCAAAUAGGCACAAGCGAGAUUUUAGUGAACGCUCUGUUUAUCAAACGAAAAUUUAAUUAAUAAUUGAAUCUCUUGGAAAACAGAUGUAAAAUGCCGCCACACGUUGCAGCUGCACUAGUAACGCUCUCUGUUGCAGAGAAGACGAUCCAGAGCGAAGCUAGUUCCUCAAUUCACUUGAACGGGUAGUACAACACGCAUUCGUAACAUCGGGAACGCACGUGUUCCCAUUGUGACCGGCUAGUGGAGCCGUGCUGCUGUUCUGGUUCAACGCAAUUAACCGUCACACGAAAGAUAAAAAAAACAGAUUCCAUCGUCGAGAGGAAAGGAGAAACAGAAACAGAUGUCGCUCAUUUGAUAUUCCACUUGUGCCACUUCCGGUGUUACAGCUUUGUCUUGUCGUCGAUUUGUAACUGAUCGACUAGUGGAAAAAAAUUUCACCCGCGAACGACCUUCUAGGAGCGCACUCACGAUGAGAGCACGCAAAUCCACCCACAAAUGUUCAACGCGCACGAUCAGCUCUGCGUUAAAGAUUCCUCGUAAGCGACCAGAAUUCACAACACCUUUCACUGGCACGAUCCCGAUCAAGACUGAAACCGAGGCCGUUGCCGCAUGUAAACGACACAUCGCGCAAGACGUAAGGAUGACAGACGACCACUACUAAAGUAUGUAAUGCAGAGCAGAGAGAAUGAACAGUUGAGGGGCGUAAGCAUGAUCGCUGAAGCUGAAUGGAGGCGCCAGAUAUCUAACCGAACUAACCAUACCUCGGGACUGAGUGCUGCCCUGCAUCCGUAAGUCAGUUCAACGAUGAUUGAAAAUGUUCCAUACUAGCUUCGGAUUAUGUACACAAUUCCACAAGCUGUUUGCGAACAGUGAUAUACCUAUGGCUAGGUACGUGCUGGCGGUCGAUCGGGGUAGGAUCAAAACAAACCGCAGCCGCAGCCGAAGACGGUGAUGUACAGGGAAUGGGGGAAACGGGGAAAUUAAUAUGCGAUGCUGCUGGUUUGGGUUUGGGAUUUUGGUGUGAGAUAUGUGCGCAAGGAGCUAAAUAAAUUAAAUUAGAAAUGUGGAACAGCUGAGGACAGAGUACGCUGAGGAGAGUUGAAUCGCGAGAGUAAUUCACCUACCGGAUGGCGGUUGGGUGAAUGUGAUGUAUUUAUUGAUGUCAUCUUUGCGAAACUGUUUGGUGAAAACCGUUGGUAUUAUGUAAAUUCAUGAACCGAAA